GUUGACCUCGAAUCAGGUAGGACUACCCGCUGAACUUAAGCAUAUCAAUAAGCGGAGG
rnacentral:rRNA from 2 species